AUUAAGCUGAUUAGCUUAUCAUGGUUUUGUUGUUCAGCGCGCGCCCAACCAUGCAUCUUGCAUGCCACCGUAUAGCAACGCCUUCGACAACGCUUCCAUUCCUACACAAACCAACUCCGAAAUGGCCAACGUCGUCCCGAUAAUGCCGAACUCGUAAGGAGCGAACUGGCAUGAUCCGAGUGAGUGCGCUGCGCUUGCUUUGAUUCCCGCUAUUCGGCAGGGCGCCAAAGUCAUGUGUUCCGCGUCCAUAACCUCCGCAACUGACUUCGUGAAUCGGCGGGCGAACGCUGCAUUCUCGGGUUUCGCAUAGGUUUAAGUCAACAUGGUAUCUUCCCCGAGCCGUGUUGGUACACACCUUAAAGCGCAGCUUGGUUCAGCUGCGCCAUUAAGGAAGUAACCUGCUGUUGCAUUUGCAGGAAGAACGCCAUCGGAUCCGGGGCGGUGGGUGGGUAUUGUUGACUUGUAGGUUGAGCAUUGAGUUUUUGGGUUCGUCGUGUCACCUGACUAAGUGCUAGUGGGAGCCAUCUCAGCCAGUCUACCAUUUUGGCAUUACUAUCAAAUUGGCAGCCGAUGUGUGUUUGUUACAUGGUCGUGGGUGUGUUCCCCGUACCUGAAACCGCCCUAAUAUGAGCCGGGGGCUCAAGGGCUGCCAGAUCGCCUGUAAGCACCAUCCUACCUCGCAUUUCAGGCAAAGCAAGUGGUAAAGGAUAUUAACGACCAAAGGGAACGAUAAAGUUGCGGUGGGACCAU
rnacentral:lncRNA from 1 species